rnacentral:misc_RNA from 1 species
GUUGGAGGGAGGUGUGUAGAACCAGAAGACAGUAGAAAAGAUGGGAAAGUGAUAAUGGAAGAGACACUAAUGGCAAUGAAUAAGGUUUUUGAAGGUGAAGUAUUUGUAUUGAAUCUUGGAAAUAGAAAGCAAGAAGAUAGCAGUGUUGCCAUUGUUGGUGGAUUACCUGAUUUGGAGAAAUGGAGGAUUUCUUUGCCUAAGCCUUUGAGAUUUUAUGUUGAUAUGUGGAUUA